AUACGCCCGUCCCGCCGCCCCCGCCCGCCUACGGGAGGCAGCAGUGGGGAAUAUUGCACAAUGGGGGAAACCCUGAUGCAGCCAUGCCGCGUGUGUGAAGAAGGCCUUCGGGUUGUAAAGCACUUUCAGUUGUGAGGAAAGUUUAGUAGUUAAUACCUGCUAGAUGUGACGUUAGCAACAGAAGAAGCACCGGCUAACUCCGUGCCAGCAGCCGCGGUAAUACGGAGGGUGCGAGCGUUAAUCGGAAUUACUGGGCGUAAAGCGCACGCAGGCGGUCUGUUAAGCUAGAUGUGAAAGCCCCGCGCUCAACGUGGGAGGGUCAUUUAGAACUGGCAGACUAGAGUCUUGGAGAGGGGAGUGGAAUUCCAGGUGUAGCGGUGAAAUGCGUAGAGAUCUGGAGGAACAUCAAUGGCGAAGGCAACUCCCUGGCCAAAGACUGACGCUCAUGUGCGAAAGUGUGGGUAGCGAACAGGAUUAGAUACCCUGGUAGUCCACACCGUAAACGCUGUCUACUAGCUGUUUGUGGAUUUAAUCCGUGAGUAGCGAAGCUAACGCGAUAAGUAGACCGCCU
rnacentral:rRNA from 1 species